rnacentral:rRNA from 1 species
AACGAACGCUGGCGGCAUGCCUAACACAUGCAAGUCGAACGAGACCUUCGGGUCUAGUGGCGCACGGGUGCGUAACACGUGGGAAUCUGCCCUUUGCUUCGGAAUAACAGUUAGAAAUGACUGCUAAUACCGGAUGAUGUCGAAAGACCAAAGAUUUAUCGGCAAAGGAUGAGCCCGCGUAGGAUUAGGUAGUUGGUGGGGUAAAGGCCUACCAAGCCGACGAUCCUUAGCUGGUCUGAGAGGAUGAUCAGCCACACUGGGACUGAGACACGGCCCAGACUCCUACGGGAGGCAGCAGUGGGGAAUAUUGGACAAUGGGCGAAAGCCUGAUCCAGCAAUGCCGCGCGAGUGAUGAAGGCCUUAGGGUUGUAAAGCUCUUUUACCAGGGAUGAUAAUGACAGUACCUGGAGAAUAAGCUCCGGCUAACUCCGUG